rnacentral:lncRNA from 1 species
AAAUUUAUUCGCAUUUUCCACAUCACUACACUUUAUGACUUCGUCACCUUCUAGGUGUCGGCCAGCACAACCUGAUUCGGAGUCUUAGUGGACAUUCUGGGUCAGGGUGAUUCAGUUUGGUAUCACAGCAUAAGUUGGGCAAUAUUGCAUCCAUCAUACGCGUGAUGAAAGCAUUCGAGUUUCUUGAGCCUAAUUUUCAAAACUUGCCACCUCGUCGACUACGAAUAAUGUGUUAGUUUUUCCUAAGUUAUAGGCAGUUUUGUCGACUUGUCGACAUUUUAGAAGAUUACUUUGCUGAAUGCUUUUUGACUUAAAGGGAAUAACUUUCCUGCCAAGGAAAGAUGUAGAUUUGAGACUAGUUGAUGGCCCUAACGCAAGAUUAAGGUAUCAAUAUGGGUGUAUCGUCAGGGAUUUAUAGAUCAAUCCCAUCACUACUAUUUAGCCAUCAUUAUUAAACCUUUUGAGGUUGGGAAAAUCAGAAAUAGUUUUGGUUCCUUGGCAAUGUCCGUUAGAUUACCACCCAUUAGAAUUCUUAUGAAGUCUACUCUCGUCAAGACCCCAGAAAUGUCUCUAGUGACAAUACGGUGCUACGAAGAACAUCUUGGGACAAUCAUUUUGGUCCCUAAUAACACUAAUAUUUCCAAACGCACUAG